CUGGCAGCCAGUUCCCCCUCCUCUUUGCAGCCUUGCAGUCUGCAGAGAGGAUGUCAACGUUUAUGUCUGAAUUCGGACAGAUUGAUUGCAGUAUCUAUGCCAGUAAUAUCUGCCCCCUGCUGUACCGGCCCCUUUGUGGUUCUGAUGGCAAAACAUAUGACAACCCAUGCGUGUUCUGUAACACAGUCACAAGUCAUGGAUCACUAGUGCUGAGACACAAAGGGGAGUGUUAGAACUCAGCUGAACUUCAACAAGACCAAGGAACAUCCACUAAAGACGUUCUGCCCAGAGAUGCAAGUUUUGGGCAGUAUAGAAAUGUAAAUAAAUAAAAUCCAUGUCUCUUCAUGCUUCAGCAUUCAUUGAAAAUUGAAAAUUGUGUCGCAACAGAAAAACCAAUAUUAAAGAAAAAUCAAUAUUAUCCUUGUGGCUAAUGAAAACCUUGCAAUAUUUUAACGCAUUUUAUCAAUAAAGUAAAUUACGCAUUAU